GCCUGGGUGGCUCAGUCGGUUGAGCGUCCGACUUCGGCUCAGGUCAUGAUCUCACGGUUCGUGGGUUCGAGCCCCGUGUCGGGCU
rnacentral:tRNA from 1 species